rnacentral:misc_RNA from 1 species
GAUGAAGAACUUAGCGAAAUGCGAUAAGUAGUGUGAAUUGCAGAAUUCAGUGAAUCAUCGAAUCUUUGAACGCACAUUGCGCCCCUUGGUAUUCCAUGGGGCAUGCCUGUUCGAGCGUCAUUUGUACCCUCAAGCUUUGCUUGGUGUUGGGUGUUUGUCCCGCGUUGCGCGUGGACUCGCCUUAAAGCGAUUGGCAGCCGGCAUAUUGGCCUUGGAGCGCAGCACAUUUUGCGCUUCUAGUCAUGAAUGUUGGCGUCCAUUAAGCCUAUACAUUUGCUCUUGACCUCGGAUCAGGUAGGGAUACCCGCUGAACUUAAGCAUAUCAAUAAGCGGAGGA